rnacentral:rRNA from 1 species
CAUUCUAAAUCCCUUAAGAAGGAUCGAUUGGAGGGCAAGUCUGGUGCCAGCAGCCGCGGUAAUUCCAGCUCCAAUAGCGUAUAUUUAAGUUGUAUUAGUUAAAAAGCUCGUAGUCGGACUUUGGGAUGGGCCGGCUGGUCCGCCUUAGGUGUGCACCGGUCGUCUCGUCCCAUCUGCCGGCGAUGCGCUCCUGGCCUUAAUUAGCCGGGUCGUGCCUCCGGCGCUGUUACUUUGAAGAAAUUAGAGUGCUAAAAGCAAUCCUACGCUCUGUAUACAUUAGCAUGGGAUAACAUUAUAGGAUUUCGGUCCUAUUACAUUGGCCUUCGGGAUCGGAGUAAUGAUUAACAAGGACAGUCGGGGGCAUUCGUAUUUCAUAGUCAGAGGUGAAAUUCUUGGAUUUNNNNNNNNNNNNNNNNNNNNCGCUUGUCUCUAUAGUUUUAUUUUGCUGUUGUGUAAGGUAUAACCGGAGCCUUGUUACCCGCAAGUACUGUAUUAUUCCGUUGUAUCUUUAGAGGCUCCGUAGACAGUGGAUGCGGGUUAGAAGCUAUGUAUAUUCAUGUUUCUUUUGUUGGACAACGAAUUGGUAAUUUCACUAGUUAUUAUGCAUGUAUGAUUUGAAAAAGGGUGAUCUAAAAAUUAAUUAUAUGGCUAGUUCUUGGAAUACCGAAUAAGGAAAACAAGGGGUGGCUCAUGGGUUAGGAAAGACACCCAGGUCCGCUUGACUGGGGAUACCCGGUCGAGCGCCGAUCAUGUCCCUCGAGUUUGGGGCGUGACACGUACGCUCUAUAUACAUUAGCAUGGGAUAACAUUAUAGGAUUUUGGACCUAUUACAUUGGCCUUCAGCAUCGGAGUAAUGAUUAACAGGGACAGUCGGGGGCAUUCGUAUUUCAUAGUCAGAGGUGAAAUUCUUGGAUUUAUGAAAGACGAACAACUGCAAAAGCAUUUGCCAAAGAUGUUUUCAUUAAUCAAGAACGAAAGUUGGGGGCGCGAAGAUGAUCAGAUACCGUCCUAGUCUCAACCAUAAACGAUGCAGACCAGGGAUCGGCGGAUGUUGCUUUUAGGACUCCGCCGGCACCUUAUGAGAAAUCAAAGUUUUAGGGUUCCGAGGGGAGUAUGGUCGCAAGGCUGAAACUUAAAGGAAUUGAUGGAAGAGCACCACCAGGAGUGGAGUAUGCGGCUUAAUUUGACUCAACACUGGGAAACUUACCAGGUCCAGACAUAGUAAGGAUUGACAGACUGAGAGCUCUUUCUUGAUUCUAUGGGUGGUGGUGCAUGGCCGUUCUUAGUUGGUGGAGCGAUUUGUCUGGUUAAUUCCGUUAACGAAUGAGACCUCAGCCUGCUAACUAGCUAUGGGGAGGUAUCCGUUUGCGGCCAGCUUCUUAGAGGGACUACGGCCUUUUAGGCCGUAGAAGUUUGAGGCAAUAACAGGUUUGUGAUGCCCUUAGAUGUUCUCGGCUGCACGCACGCUACACUGAUGUAUUCAACGAGUUUAUAGCCUUGGCCGACAGGCACGGGUAAUCGUUGAAAUUUCAUCGUGAUGGGGAUAGAUCAUUGCAAUUGUUGGUCUUCAACGAGGAAUUGCUAGUAAGCGCGAGUUAUCAGCUCGCGUUGACUACUUCCCUGCCCUUUGUACACACCUCCCAUCGCUCCUACCGAUUGAAUGAUCCGGUUAAAUGUUCGGAUCUCAGCGACGUGGGCGGUUCGGUGCCCGCGACGUCGCGAGAAGUCCAUUGAACCUUUUCAUUUAGAGGAAGGAGAAGUCAUAACAAUGUUUCCGUAGGUGAACCUGCGGAAG